GUAGCACAGAGGAGCUUGCUCCUCGGGUGACGAGUGGCGGACGGGUGAGUAAUGUCUGGGAAACUGCCCGAUGGAGGGGGAUAACUACUGGAAACGGUAGCUAAUACCGCAUAACGUCGCAAGACCAAAGUGGGGGACCUUCGGGCCUCACACCAUCGGAUGUGCCCAGAUGGGAUUAGCUAGUAGGUGGGGUAACGGCUCACCUAGGCGACGAUCCCUAGCUGGUCUGAGAGGAUGACCAGCCACACUGGAACUGAGACACGGUCCAGACUCCUACGGGAGGCAGCAGUGGGGAAUAUUGCACAAUGGGCGCAAGCCUGAUGCAGCCAUGCCGCGUGUAUGAAGAAGGCCUUCGGGUUGUAAAGUACUUUCAGCGGGGAGGAAGGCGACGCGGUUAAUAACCGCGUCGAUUGACGUUACCCGCAGAAGAAGCACCGGCUAACUCCGUGCCAGCAGCCGCGGUAAUACGGAGGGUGCAAGCGUUAAUCGGAAUUACUGGGCGUAAAGCGCACGCAGGCGGUCUGUCAAGUCGGAUGUGAAAUCCCCGGGCUUAACCUGGGAACUGCAUUCGAAACUGGCAGGCUAGAGUCUUGUAGAGGGGGGUAGAAUUCCAGGUGUAGCGGUGAAAUGCGUAGAGAUCUGGAGGAAUACCGGUGGCGAAUGCGGCCCCCUGGACAAAGACUGACGCUC
rnacentral:rRNA from 1 species